rnacentral:rRNA from 1 species
UACGUAGGGGGCAAGCGUUGUCCGGAUUUACUGGGCGUAAAGCGCGUGUAGGCGGAAAAGCAAGUCUGGCCUGAAAGCCCUCGGCUCAACCGAGGAUCCGGGUCAGAAACUGUUUUUCUUGAGGACGGCAGAGGAGUGUGGAAUUCCUGGUGUAACGGUGAAAUGUGUAGAGAUCAGGAGGAACACCGAUGGCGAAGGCAGCACUCUGGGCCGGACCUGACGCUGAGACGCGAAAGCGUGGGGAGCGAACGGG